CCUCCUCCCGUGUUCCAGUUCUUUCCUCCACGUCCACACUCGACGCAGCGGAACAAACUGAGCAGAGGGCCUCCUGUCUCAGCUCAGCCCAGUUCUUCAUACUGGGUGUGUGUGCAGACCAGAGGCAGAGCAGUGCAGUGGCUUUACCCAUUCCAUCCUCAGCUGCAGCGUGGCUCUGUGGUGGAAGAGACCCCUGCUACAUGUGGCCCAUGGGCCGCUGGUUCGAUUCCUCUAAAGCAACACUGUGCAACUUGUUCACCUUGAGUCAGCAGCUUUAAAAUGAUGGUUGAGUGUCGAUCCCCUGUGAGAAGAACUGACUGAGACUCACAAACUGUCACAGUCAGCUCCAGUUGGAGAGUGAAGCUGAACUGAGAUCAGUUAAAAACACUCAGAACUUAUUAAAAACCAGAGUUUAUCUCCAAUAUUCAGCAGGAAACUAUUAAAACAUAAAGAAUUCCGCUGGCGUGUUUGCUAAAGCUGCACCUCUUCUGGUUCAGGAAGCAGGGCAUCAUGGGUAAUACCCAGCCACACUGUAAGAGCUCCAGCCAACAAGCUCAGACAUGAAGGUCAACAGAAUUAAUCCCCAUCAUGUGGCGACAGGGGGCGCUGUUACUCAGUAAAAGUUCCACAGUGUUGCUUUGAAGUGUUUUCAAAUAAGUAAUAUAUGUAAUAUUGUGUCACUUUUCACAUUAUGAAACCCAUAGUUAUCGAUGUAGAUGAUUAGAUAUGAGAAACUUUACAUACAGACUCUGUACACACACGAUCUGUCAGAUGCGUCAUGUUUUAAAACAGAAUCAGUAGAAACUCCAACAAGGGGAAGAUGGUGCCAUAAAACUACAACUGUAAUGAUACUGAUAAUAUCUGCCUCCAUCUUCUUCACCUCCUCUCUCUCUCUGCUCCAUCGUCACAUCCUGCAGGGUCCAGCAUCGGAGGAGACUGACCACUAGAUGGCGCCAGACAGCAGGAAGAUAAGAGAUGUCGUCACCGGUUCACUUGUUUGAUCUUUUCCACCAAAUUGUUCAAAUAUAUUUUUCAGGAUAUUUUUUACAGGUGUUGACAUUUAAAGUCCAACAAUUAAAAUGUGCAGGUGAAUAAAGAGAUUUAACUUAAAAAAAAUGUUGAACUUUUAAAUGUUUUGUGUCACAUUUGUAAAGAAAUCUUCUUGAUUACCUCAGCUUAAAACCAAAUAAAGAAAUAUUUUAAAUAUCCUA